UGGCUUUCUAAGGGGCCAAAUCAAACUCUCAGAUCUGAAUGCUUCCAGUCGUGAGAAAGAAACAAAAGAAACCAAAGUGGAGACAUAGAAGGUUUAUGAGGAGCAGGAGCAAAUAAAAGUUAUGAACAGGGCACAUAUGCAACAAUAACAGAUGGAGUUCAAGCUCACUGAGGGAACAUAUGAAAACCUUGGAAUUUAUUGCUCCUAUAUGCAGUGGAAGAUGUUACAAGUUUUAUUACAUUUGCUGUUAACAUAAAAAUUUUUGUACCUUUUAUCAUUUUGGGGGUGCUAUUUAUUGUUGUUAUUUUAUUACCAUUGUGUUUUCCUGAUGGCAUUGGACUCCAGUGAAGCUUUUAUUCC
rnacentral:lncRNA from 1 species